GUACCCUCAAGCUUUGCUUGGUGUUGGGCGUCUUGUCUCUAGCUUUGCUGGAGACUCGCCUUAAAGUAAUUGGCAGCCGGCCUACUGGUUUCGGAGCGCAGCACAAGUCGCACUCUCUAUCAGCAAAGGUCUAGCAUCCAUGAAGCCUAUUUCAAC
rnacentral:misc_RNA from 1 species